rnacentral:rRNA from 1 species
CGUGUAGGCGGCGAUUUAAGUCUGGAGUGAAAGUCCUGCUUUUAAGGUGGGAAUUGCUUUGGAUACUGGAUGGCUAGAGUGCAGGAGAGGUUAGUGGAAUUCCCAGUGUAGCGGUGAAAUGCGUAGAGAUUGGGAGGAACACCAGUGGCGAAGGCGACUAACUGGACUGUAACUGACGCUGAGGCGCGAAAGUGUGGGGGAGCAAACA